rnacentral:rRNA from 1 species
ACUCCUACGGGAGGCAGCAGUGGGGAAUAUUGCACAAUGGGCGAAAGCCUGAUGCAGCAACGCCGCGUGAACGAUGAAGGCCUUCGGGUUGUAAAGUACUUUCAGCAGUGAGGAAGGCAGGUACGUUAAUAGCGUGCUUGUUUGACGUUAGCUGCAGAAGAAAGCACCGGCUAACUCCGUGCCAGCAGCCGCGGUAAUACGGAGGGUGCGAGCGUUAAUCGGAAUUACUGGGCGUAAAGCGCAUGCAGGUGGUUUGUUAAGUCAGAUGUGAAAGCCCGGGGCUCAACCUCGGAAUUGCAUUUGAAACUGGCAGACUAGAGUACUGUAGAGGGGGGUAGAAUUUCAGGUGUAGCGGUGAAAUGCGUAGAGAUCUGAAGGAAUACCGGUGGCGAAGGCGGCCCCUGGACAGAUACUGACACUCAGAUGCGAAAGCUGGGGAGCAAACAGGAUUAGAUACCCUGGUAGCACAGAG